rnacentral:misc_RNA from 1 species
GCAAACUUGGUCAUUUAGAGGAAGUAAAAGUCGUAACAAGGUAACCGUAGGUGAACCUGCGGUUGGAUCAUUACUGAACUGUGGGAAAGAAUUGAACCCCCUUUGUGUGAACUGUUAUUAUUUCUUUGGUGGCCCACGCGACUUCGGGCCACCUAACUGUUAUCAAAUUCUUUGAUGUAUAUUUUAUCUUACAUGAUUGUUUGAGUUGAAUCUCCAAUAAACAAAAAACAACUUUUGACAAUGGAUCUCUUGGCUCUUGCAUCAAUGAAGAACGCAGC